CAGUCGCCGCGGGAAUACAGAGGGUGCAAGCGUUAAUCGGAAUUACUGGGCGUAAAGCGCGCGUAGGUGGUUUGUUAAGUUGGAUGUGAAAUCCCCGGGCUCAACCUGGGAACUGCAUCCAAAACUGGCAAGCUAGAGUAUGGUAGAGGGUGGUGGAAUUUCCUGUGUAGCGGUGAAAUGCGUAGAUAUAGGAAGGAAAACCAGUGGCGAAGGCGACCACCUGGACUGAUACUGACACUGAGGUGCGAAAGCGUGGGGAGCAAACAGGAUUAGAUACCCCUGUAGUCCCGUCUCUUAUACA
rnacentral:rRNA from 1 species